UAUAUAUAUAUAUAUAAUGGCCCUAAUCUUCUUAAUUGCAAAAUAAAUUCAUAAAAUUUUUCUCAUCUACAGGUGAAGAAAUGGUUUUUGACGAUAAAUGGGUUAGAAUGGUGUAUUGUUAGGACAUGGGAGGAAUAUAAUGCAUUUGAGAGAUAUAUGCUUGAGAAGUACGGGGAUGAAAUCACUCAACAUACGGGGGAUGAUGCCGAGUUGUGGGCGCUAAGUCAGGGAGGGAGAAAUGAUCGUAUUUUUGAGAAAGGAUCGUCUAGUCAUCAAUUAAUGAUGACAGGGACAUCACCUUACGGGUUUACUAAGUCCUCCAUUGAGUAUGUACAUUCUCAACUACAGGUACGAGAGUUGCAAAUUCAAAUGGAAAUGGAACGAAAAACACGAGAAGAGAUGCAAACACAAAUAUCCGAACUUAUAAGCCGAUUUAGUAACCAUUUCGGU